UACGAAGGGGGCUAGCGUUGCUCGGAAUUACUGGGCGUAAAGCGCACGUAGGCGGACUCUUAAGUCGGGGGUGAAAGCCCAGGGCUCAACCCUGGAACUGCCUUCGAUACUGGGAGUCUUGAGUGUGGAAGAGGUUGGUGGAACUGCGAGUGUAGAGGUGAAAUUCGUAGAUAUUCGCAAGAACACCAGUGGCGAAGGCGGCCAACUGGUCCAUUACUGACGCUGAGGUGCGAAAGCGUGGGGAGCAAACAGG
rnacentral:rRNA from 1 species